CAAGAAAUAGUUUAAAAAUAAAAAAUAAUGGCUUUGGGUGUCAUUGAUAAGAGUUAAAUUCUUUUUUUCUUGA
rnacentral:tRNA from 1 species